rnacentral:rRNA from 1 species
UACGUAGGGCGCAAGCGUUGUCCGGAAUUAUUGGGCGUAAAGAGCUCGUAGGCGGUUUGUCACGUCGGCUGUGAAAACCCGAGGCUCAACCUCGGGCCUGCAGUCGAUACGGGCAGACUAGAGUGCUGUAGGGGAGACUGGAAUUCCUGGUGUAGCGGUGAAAUGCGCAGAUAUCAGGAGGAACACCGGUGGCGAAGGCGGGUCUCUGGACAGUUCCUGACGCUGAGGCACGAAGGUCAGGGGAGCAAACGGG